rnacentral:tRNA from 2 species
GGAGAGUUGGCAGAGUGGUAAUGCACCGGACUCGAAAUCCGGCGAACCAGGUUUAUCCCUGGCGCGCAGGUUCAAAUCCUGUACUCUCCUCCA